UCUUUGCUGCUCUAGCCCACAAGGGUCUCCAGUCCCGAGAAAUCUUACUGAUUCACAGAGGAGUAGUGCUAUGAUUAAGAAUAAUUUUUUGAUCUGUAUACUGCAAGAGAGGGUAUACGGAAAUAUUCCAGGUACCUGGUUACUUGUAAUUCAAAUAAACGGUGCAUGAGAAGAAACUUGACGAGGACACUAGCCUCGAGACUGGGCGGCGAACAGGGCUCCAGCGGCAGGAAGCGAGGGAAGAUGUAAUGCAAGGCUUCAGUCCACUGGCCCUGGGACACGAAGCGCGCCAGAUGAAACACGCAAAAGUAGGCGUUUGUCUGCUUCAACAUCCUGCAUCCAUGUAUUCUGUUGAUCAGCAAGUAAGCUAGACCAAAGCAUUUGAAAAGCAAAAUAAGGGUAGUGGGUGCAUACGCGACGAAGGUGGA
rnacentral:lncRNA from 1 species